rnacentral:rRNA from 1 species
GUGCGCGAGUCACUGGGCUAACUAAACCCAAGGGCGAAAUGAAAGUGAAGGCGUCGCUUCGGCACGUCGUGGGAGGAUGGGCGGACCUCGCGUCCGCCUCGCACUCCCGGGGCGUCUCGUGCUCUUCGCGAGCUGAGGCGCACCCCGAGCGUACGCGCUGGGACCCGAAAGAUGGUGAACUAUGCCUGGUCAGGACGAAGUCAGGGGAAACCCUGAUGGAGGUCCGUAGCGAUUCUGACGUGCAAAUCGAUCGUCGGAACUGGGUAUAGCGGCGAAAGACCAAUCGAACCAUCUAGUAGCUGGUUCCCUCCGAAGUUUCCCUCAGGAUAGCUGGCGCUCGUUGUAUCGAGUUUCAUCUGGUAAAGCGAAUGAUUAGAGGCCUUGGGGUCGAAACGACUUCAACCUAUUCUCAAACUUUAAAUGGGUGAGAACUCCCGCCUUCUUAAAUCAAUUAAAGUGAGGCGGCGAGGCUCGCUAGAAUCAGAGUGCCAAGUGGGCCACUUUUGGUAAGCAGAACUGGCGCUGUGGGAUGAACCAAACGCGAAGUUAAAGCGCCAAAAUAACGCUUAUGGGAUACCAUGAAAGGCGUUGGUAACUUAAAACAGCAGGACGGUGUCCAUGGAAGUCGGAA